GGGAAGGUAGUUUAUUUAAAAUCCUUACGUUCCACGUGAGAGACGUCGGUUGAAUACCGGCCCUUCCCUCCA
rnacentral:tRNA from 1 species